CCCCACCCCCUACUUUUUCAGGAGGCUCCUACUGAUGGGAAGGCUGGUUGAGAAAUCUAAAUAGAAACUGCCCACAUAGUUAGAAGGUUUAAUGUUCUAACAGCUUGUGAUUCCCUCAACGGCUUCUUUACAAUGCUUUCUUUUCAACCUCAGAAUUCUUAGAUGCAGAUUUCCUUCAUCCCCAGAUAAAUUCUAAAGCAGUGAACUUUUUCUGCGGUAUGGAAGGUGUUUUUCUUUCUUCUCAUUUCAGGCACAGCUAUGGUUUGUAUUCAUUUGGUGAGGCCUAGAGGAAUCAGCAAACACCUGUAGUGUUAACCUGUCUCAAAUCUUACAAAGAGCAUUAGAAAUUCUGAAGUAGUGU